rnacentral:rRNA from 1 species
UGGGGAAUAUUGCACAAUGGGCGCAAGCCUGAUGCAGCCAUGCCGCGUGUAUGAAGAAGGCCUUCGGGUCGUAAACCUCUUUUGUCGGGGAGCAAAUUCCGCCACGUGUGGCGGAGUCGAGAGUACCCGAAGAAAAAGCAUCGGCUAACUCCGUGCCAGCAGCCGCGGUAACACGGAGGAUGCGAGCGUUAUCCGGAUUUAUUGGGUUUAAAGGGUGCGUAGGCGGACUGUCAAGUCAGCGGUAAAAUACGGGGGCUCAACCCCGUCGAGCCGUUGAAACUGGCAGACUUGAGUUGGCGAGAAGUACGCGGAAUGCGCGGUGUAGCGGUGAAAUGCAUAGAUAUCACGCAGAACCCCGAUUGCGAAGGCAGCAUACCGGUGCACAACUGACGCUCAGGCACGAAAGCGUGGGUAUCGAACAGG